UUGGCGACCUCUAUGUUGGCGACCUUGCCUUGCCGUGGAUUGUUUUUAGUUGUUUGUAUUAUUUGUGCUUUUUAAGAAUAUUUUUUUAAUUCGGAUACUUUUAUAAUAGCUUUAAUAGUAUUAUUAACAUAGUGCAUAAAAUGGUGUCCUGUUUUUAACGCAGUUGGAGUAGCAGAAACAAAUGUAGAUAAAAAAAUCUGCAGGAAUAACGUUUCAAUUAUGACAGAAGCUCAAAACAAAUGACUGUGAAUGAAAAGCCCUAUUAAAAGCUUUCCAGAAGAUCCUGCGAAGAAGACAUGAAGUAUAGAUCAGAUUUGUUAAUAGAGGAGUAUGUUCAAAACACUUUUUAGAAAAAGAUAUUGACAGAACUUCACUUUCAUCUGUUCGUUUGAGAGACUGUGCUGUUCCAAUAGCUUAUGUCACACAGAAUCAGCUGAGAGAAGUGGUCUACAAAAAACCAGAAAGGAAACGGAAUAUGUGGUUACGAAAAGCAAAAGAAAGGUUUACAAAGCAAAUGUAACACAUUUUUUUAUAAUAUUUAGGAAUGUCAGCAAAUUACAUUAAAAAAUGUAUGUAAAGAUUUUUUGCAAUAAAAAUGUUUAUAUUUA